UGUGAUGCCCUUAGAUGUCCUGGGCCGCACGCGCGCUACACUGAUGCGACCAGUAGGCCAUACCUAUCCCGAGAGGGCUGGGUAAUCCAUUGAGAUCGUAUCGUGCUGGGGAUCGAGCACUGGAAAGCGCUCGUGAACAUGGAAUGCCUUGUAAUCGUGGGUCACCAACCCACGAUGAAUACGUCCCUGCCCUUUGUACACACCGCCCGUCGCU
rnacentral:rRNA from 1 species